AGCAGCCGCGGUAAUUCCAGCUCCAAUAGCGUAUAUUAAAGUUGUUGCAGUUAAAAAGCUCGUAGUUGAAUUUCGGGAUCAGUACGCUGGUCGUGCCUCCGGUAUGUACUGGUGUCACUGGUUCCUCUCUUCUGAAGAACCAUCAUGCUAUUAAUUUAGUGUGGUGGGAAAUCAGGACUGUUACUUUGAAAAAAUUAGAGUGUUUAAAGCAGGCUCACGCUUGAAUACAUUAGCAUGGAAUAAUGAAAUAGGACGUUGAUCCUAUUUUGUUGGUUUCUAGGAUUGACGUAAUGAUUAAUAGGGAUAGUUGGGGGCAUUAGUAUUCAAUUGUCAGAGGUGAAAUUCUUGGAUUUAUUGAAGACUAACUACUGCGAAAGCAUUUGCCAAGGAUGUUUUCAUUAAUCAAGAACGAAAGUUAGGGGAUCGAAGACGAUCAGAUACCGUCGUAGUCUUAACCACAAACUAUGCCGACUAGGGAUCGGAUGAUGUAAUUUUUUAAUGACUCAUUC
rnacentral:rRNA from 1 species